AAGAUUUUAAGUUAAAUAAACUAUUAACCUUCAAAGUUUAAAAUACAAUAAAGUAAAUCUUA
rnacentral:tRNA from 1 species